GGAAAACUCGCCCAGAAGCUAGCAAGUAUCAAGUUAAGCCACAUCACUACAAAUGUCUUUUCAAGCUAGGUAAGUUACAAUAGUUUGAGAUCUAGCUAAUGAUGUUAUAAUGUCACAAUUUAUUAUAUAGAUAGAUGAUCUGCUUUAUAAGGUUUUAAAUAGGUUAUGCUAGCUAACAUUAGCUAUGUCGACAAAGUUAACGUUAUCUAGCUAGGUUUCAUGGUAGCUAGGUUAAAAAACUUUCACAUGUAAACAUGCAGUGGACUGGCUAUUUUGAAAAUAUGAUAUUAAAUUAAUGCAUAAUACAAAUAUUUAUUUGUAGAUUACAAUUUUAAUGGUUUGGCAUUAUUUAAAAGUAGUGUGAAAAUAUAUUUAGAAAUUUUCAUGGAUAACAUUAGCAUAAUGUUUUCUGUUAGAGUGGAGAGGAGGAAGACUGGCUAGGAAGAAGAGUGAAAGAGAUCGAGGAGGAAAGGGCCAUGCUUAUUGUGAAGACAAACUUCAACCUCCCCUGCCAGGAGUUCAUUGAGAAGCUGGCCAAAGACAGAGCAAUCCUGAAGAAGAUACAUUCUUCUGAGAAAAUACAGAUUAGACGACCAGGACCACUGAAUGGCUGUUCAGAUCGGACAGUUCUGUCUUGUCUGUAGUGUUUCUGUAAUAUAGUUGUUUUCUCUAUCACAGCGUGCCUGUUAAACUAAAUACAUGAAACUGGAAUUGUCCCCCUUUAUUAUUUAAUAGAUAAUAACAUUGGAUAUUUUAAUGAUAUAUUGACUUGCCGAGCUGGAAAUGUCCCCGGUUUUCAUUUCAGAAAUCUGGUCACCUUACUGUAAAUGGGACACACGAAAACAAUUGAAGUUGAAUUCACCGAUGCGAGCGCAUCAAGCUGUAAUUUUAUAAAGUAGAUAACUCAACUUUUGACUCAUUUAUACUCAUUUGUGUGUCCUAUUCGGCCCGCAGACAUUGUGUUUGACACAAGUGUGCUAGCCUAUUAGUCAUGUUAUGACUGACUUGUGAUCAUGACUGACUUGUUGACAUUCCCAGCCUUAGUUACAGUCAUCCAUUUCUGUUCAAAAUAUUGAGUCAUUGAAACUGAAACAGUGCAUCCUGAAUGGGUGGAUGAAGCAAACAGUGUACCAGGCCAGCUGUGAUUUACAAAUUGAUAGCAAGAUUUUUUUGGACUACCAAGAAAUGUAUUGAUGAAUUAUAUUAAUCAUGCUGUAUUGAACUGCAUCCAUCUAUUCUGCCAACGGUAACACUUUACUUUACAACCAGCAUCAUGACAUGUUGUGACAUGGGAGUUUGAAACUCUUUGACUAGGAGUUUGAUUUUUUUGACGAAUGUUAUGAUUGUUUGUUUCAUAUCUGCAAAAUAGUUAAAACACUGUCCAUUCCACUUUAAUUAAGUACAUUGCAUGUAACGAUGAGUACAUUUUCUCCAUGUAAAGUCUCACAGUAAAGUUUCAGUGAAGUUUCUAACUGUCUCAUGGGGAGCCCUUGGCUUUCUAUACAAUCUGUUUGUCUGCUUUUCUCUCUGAUUCGUUUUCUGUUUGUGAGCCUUUGUCAUUUCAUCAGGGAUACUGGCAUCCCUCCCUCCUUCAGAUGGAUUUUCUUCACACCCCAUCACUUUUUCCCCAAAUAUGAGAGCCACUUUCAUUUGGGGAAAGAAAGUGCACUAUUCAUUUCACCAAUCUCAUUUUCUCUCAGUCCCUCUCUCCCAAUCUCUCUCUCACACACACCUGCUGUUUCUCACUCCCCAAGGCUGUGGUCCUGCAUUCUCCUUCUAUAUUAGACUAUGUUUUGUCUCCCUGACCUCCCAUGAUCCAUGACUGCAGGAGAAGAGAGGGAGAAUGCAGAACAAAGUUAUUCUUCAUUCAGUCAUUCUCUGUGUGUGUGUAUCUGGUAUGUGUAUAUUACUGUAAACUAUAAACUUUGUCUCUGUUCUGAGUUGAAGCCAUAAUGUGUUUGAGAAUGUGGUACAGCGCCGUAAAAAAGUAUUUGCCCCCUUUCUGAUUUUCUCUAUUUUUGUAAAUAUGUUUGAUACUGAAUGUUAUCAGAUUUUCAACCAAGUACCUAAUAUUAGAUAAAGGGAACCAUUUACAAAUAACAACAAAAAAAAAAUACUUAUUUUAUUUAACAAAUUUAUGCAACACCCAAUUCCCCUGUGUGAAAAAGUGAUUGCCCCCUUACACUCAAUAACAGUUUGUGCCACCAUUAGCUCCAAUGACUGCAACCAAAUGCUUCCUGUAGUUGUUGAUCAGUCUCUCACAUCGCUGUGGGGGAAUUUUGGCCCACUCUUGAAUGCAGAACUGCUUUAGCUCUGCAACAUUUGUGGGUUUUCAAGC